AUGAAUAUGGCGAAAUGGUAAACGCACUAAAUUUAGAAUUUAGUAUUUUAAUAUAAGAGUUCAACUCUCUUUAUUCAUA
rfam:Plasmodium ovale wallikeri genome assembly, contig: contig205